GAAGAUAUUGUGGGCCAUGGUGCCAAGUUGUGAUUUUCAAGGGUGGUUUAAGCGCCAAUUGUCUACGAGAGUGCCACAAAGGGUAUGGCCGUAGUAUUCAGGGGCCAUGGACCACCGAAGGGCCAUUAGAGGGAAGAUACUGUGUGCCAUGGUGCCAAGUGUCUACAAGGGUGCCACAGAGAGUUAGGUAGACGCCCCUGCCAUGGCCUUACUCAACUAGGGCCAUGGACCACCGGAGGGCCAUUGGAGGGGAGAAAUAAUGGUCCAUAGUGCUACAUUUUGUGAUUUUCAAGGAGUAGCUGUGAAUGGCCUCAAUGAAGAAUGCGAGAAGUCUGAACAUGAGAUACAGGAGGAGGCCCUGAUACGACAAGAAUGUGGCUUCACCUACAGGGGAUGCAUUUGAGAUUAAGGCCAGGCACUGCAGAGGAGGAAGAGAAGAAGGAGGAAGAAGAAGAAGAAGAAGGAGGAGGAGGAGGAGGAGGAGGAGGAAGAAGAAGGAGGAGGAGGAGGAGGAGGAGGAGGCAACUUAUAAAUAUAGGCAGAAGGUUAUGUGCCAAGGAAAAUAUAUAAAUGAUUUGUAUUAUGUAAAGUAUUGAAUUUAAAAUAUAUCUACUAAUAAUUUCUAUGCAUGUUUACAGGGUUACAUAUUUAAGCUGUAAUAUAAUUUACAUGUAUUUAAAUGGGGUUUUAAGUAUAAGGUGUUUGGUAUUGCUAUACUUAUAAAAUCUUCGGUUUUGGGGUAUAUAAUUCUAAGUAAGUGUUUCCCUACGUUAUUUAAGUGUAAAGUAAGUGUGUAAGGUAUUAAGUUAUAUAUUAAAGUGUGUACCGGGUUCUCUAAUAAGUGUGUAGUGAUUGGAAUCAUUUAAGUGUAAUGUAUAAAGGUUACAUAUAUAUAUAUAUAUAUAUAUAUAUAUAUAUAUAAGUAUUUAAGUGGGAGCAGCAAGUAGUGGGCUUUAUUUUUCUACACUUUUUUGCCCUUGAAAAAAAAAUACUGUGAAAUCUUUAAGUGUACUGUAUGAAGCCUAUACAUUUAUAAGUAUGUGUAACAUCCUGUGGGGGCUAACUAAUGUAAGGGUGAUUUCAUAAGUGUUACCGUAGUGGUGUGACUUAAUCAGCAACCUCUACUGCAAUUAGUCUGAGUACAAUUACUGGUUCUGGUACUCUGAGUAUUAACAAAACCUUUUAAUUUCAGUUACCAAGGACAACCUCUGCUGCUCCGGGUAUCAACUCCUGCACUCCUGGGACUGGUGUAACAUCUGCAUGCUCUCUUUUACAACUCACUCUGCUUCUGCUAUUCGUAACACCUCGCUCUGCGUCUGCUGUCGUAACGAAGCUUCUGUGUACUAACUCCUGCUCGCUUAACCCGCAUGGAUUUUGUAUAACGCAUCUUGUAGUUUUCGUGUGAUGGUUCCCUUCGCUCUUCCUUCAUAACUAAUCGCACGGCUUUGCAUGAAAACUCCAGCAACUUACGGCUUAAAUUUCGCAUGAGAACUACUCCUGCUUACGUAUGACAAUUCUCUCUGCCUUUCCUAACGACUCAUGGAUUUUGCAUAACCCCAUUCCAUUUCCGCUGUCAUGCUAACCCAUACUAAUGCUGGCUGGAGUAUCCUAACCCAUAGUCUAAGCUGCCGGCCAGAGCUUCAGGUGACCCCUAACUUGAAGCCUGUCGGAUCAGCGUCUAGCAAGGGAGGUUCCGUCAGGUUCCGUUCCCCCCUAGAGAUGUCUCCACCUUAAAAAAAUAGUUUGACAUCAUUUGAGAGCAGCAGUACAGGCCAGGUAUCAGAGAGGGGUUCAGGCCUAUAUGGGGGCACCUCCGUUAGGCUUGUACCUCAAAAAAUAAAAGAUUAAAAAUUAAAAAAAAGACUAUGUGUGUCCAAGUCAUGUGAGAAUCCUGACUAUGGAGGGAGAUUAUCCUCAAGCACGUACGGUUAUAUAUAUGUGUGUAUCUUUUACCCACCCAUGCGUGCAGUACGGUUGAACAGAAGAACGUGGUGGUGGUGGUGGUGGUGGUAGGGAUCAUGUUUCUUAACGGUCCCUCUAAGCGAGAAAAAUGAGAAAAAAUCAUCACUCACACAAACCAUUUCAUAAUACAUAUCCAAGCAUUUGUCAUCAGAUUAUGUAUCAUCUAUUUUGGGGGGUUUAUAUCAUGGCACAAAUUUGGCCCGUCGCCGCUACAUGGUAAAGCCACAAAUUUGGCCCGUCGCUGCUACACGGUAAAGCCACAAAUUUGGCCCGUCGCUGCUACUGUGUUAAAAAGCAUUACCAAGCACAUCAGAUGCCCGGGAAACAUACUAUACUAUAUGAAAACCUUACCAAGCACAUGCAACCUCUACCAUGCCUUACCUCUCAUAAA